rnacentral:rRNA from 1 species
CGGGGAAUCUUGCGCAAUGGGCGAAAGCCUGACGCAGCGACGCCGCGUGAGGGAAGAAGGCCUGCGGGUUGUAAACCUCUUUUCGGGGGGAAGAACACUGACGGUACCCCCGGAAUAAGCCUCGGCUAACUACGUGCCAGCAGCCGCGGUAAUACGUAGGAGGCGAGCGUUGUCCGGAUUCACUGGGCGUAAAGGGAGCGCAGGCGGCCGGGUCCGUCGGCGGUUUAAUCUCCAGGCUCAACUUGGAGGGGCCCGCCGAUACCACCCGGCUCGAGGGCGGUAGAGGAGUACGGAAUUCCUGGUGUAGUGGUGAAAUGCGUAGAUAUCAGGAGGAACACCGGAGGCGAAAGCGGUGCUCUGGGCCGACCCUGACGCUCAUGCUCGAAAGCGUGGGGAGCAAACCGG